rnacentral:tRNA from 2 species
AAUGAAGUGCCUGAUUUAAAAGGAUUAUUUUGAUAGAAUAAAUUAUGUAAAAUUUUUACCUUCAUUA